rnacentral:rRNA from 1 species
GGGAGCUUGCUCCCUGUUGUUAGCGGCGGACGGGUGAGUAACACGUGGGUAACCUGCCUGUAAGACUGGGAUAACUCCGGGAAACCGGGGCUAAUACCGGAUGGUUGUUUGAACCGCAUGGUUCAGACAUAAAAGGUGGCUUCGGCUACCACUUACAGAUGGACCCGCGGCGCAUUAGCUAGUUGGUGAGGUAACGGCUCACCAAGGCGACGAUGCGUAGCCGACCUGAGAGGGUGAUCGGCCACACUGGGACUGAGACACGGCCCAGACUCCUACGGGAGGCAGCAGUAGGGAAUCUUCCGCAAUGGACGAAAGUCUGACGGAGCAACGCCGCGUGAGUGAUGAAGGUUUUCGGAUCGUAAAGCUCUGUUGUUAGGGAAGAACAAGUGCCGUUCAAAUAGGGCGGCACCUUGACGGUACCUAACCAGAAAGCCACGGCUAACUACCUGCC